AUGUUUUUAGUAUAUUAGUACAUUUACCUUCCAAGUAAAAAGAUUAAACUUUAAAAAACAUA
rnacentral:tRNA from 1 species